rnacentral:rRNA from 1 species
CCAGACUCCUACGGGAGGCAGCAGUAGGGAAUCUUCGGCAAUGGACGAAAGUCUGACCGAGCAACGCCGCGUGAGUGAAGAAGGUUUUCGGAUCGUAAAACUCUGUUGUUAGAGAAGAACGUUGAUUAGAGUGGAAAAUUAAUCAAGUGACGGUAUCUAACCAGAAAGGGACGGCUAACUACGUGCCAGCAGCCGCGGUAAUACGUAGGUCCCGAGCGUUGUCCGGAUUUAUUGGGCGUAAAGCGAGCGCAGGUGGUUUAAUAAGUCUGAUGUAAAAGGCAGUGGCUCAACCAUUGUGUGCAUUGGAAACUGUUAGACUUGAGUGCAGUAGAGGAGAGUGGAAUUCCAUGUGUAGCGGUGAAAUGCGUAGAUAUAUGGAGGAACACCGGUGGCGAAAGCGGCUCUCUGGACUGUCACUGACACUGAGGCUCGAAAGCGUGGGUAGCAAACAGGAUUAGAUACCCUGGUAGUCCACGCCGUAAACGAUGAGUGCUAGAUGUAGGGAGCUAUAAGUUCUCUGUAUCGCAGCUAACGCAAUAAGCACUCCGCCUGGGGAGUACGACCGCAAGGUUGAAACUCAAAGGAAUUGACGGGGGCCCGCACAAG